rfam:Solenopsis invicta Si_gnG.contig43098, whole genome shotgun sequence.
AGCUUUGCGCAGUGGCGAUAUCGUAACCAAUGAAGUUCUACUGAGGUGCGAUUAUUGCUAGUUGAAAACUUUUACCAAUACCCCGCCAUGACGAUGUGAAAUACCAUCGGCUACGGCAAUUUUUGAAAGUUUCUGCGGAAA